rfam:Salmo salar isolate Sally breed double haploid chromosome ssa10, whole genome shotgun sequence.
UGGCUCAGUUGGUAGAGCAUGGUGUUUGCAACACCAGGGUUGUGGGUUUGUUUCCCAC